rnacentral:lncRNA from 1 species
CUUUUCAGAGGCAACUGGAUCACUGGUGUGUGGCUCAUCAGUGGAUUUGCCUAUGAUAAGUUUAUAGCUGAAUGUGAUACUGGGAGGUAAAAGGCUGGUUAGAGGAGGUGGGUCACUGGGGGUGUAGACCGGAAGAGGCUAUCUCCCUCCCUCCUUUCUCCCUUAUUUCUUCUCUACUUCCCUCCCACCAUACCAUGGACUGUUCUGCCUGUGCCAUGCCACCCUGCCUUAGAGCCAGCUGUCUAUGGACUGAAACCUUUACAAACCGUGAGCUAAAAUAAAACCUUCCUCCUUUAACUUUUGGGUGUUGGGUAUUGUGUCCCAGGAAUGAGGGAAGUCACUGAGACACCCAUAUACACUGGGAAUAGAUUUAGUUUAGUGCAUUGGGCUUCAACUCUGGCUGCAUAUUAGAAAAACUUUUAAAAACAACAAAAACUGAUAUCCAGGGUGAGUAUGCAGAGCAAAAGAAGAAGUGGAGUCCCCAGUAUCCAUAUUAUUGAAAGUUCCCCGGGAAGUCUAAUGUGUAGCUCAUAAACUUGUCUUUUUUAGGAUGAAAGCCUCCGACCAUUCAACCUUGGCCUUGGCAAGCUCCUUUUGCACAUAAACAAAGUGAGCAGGGACUCUCUUUAACAGCUCCAGCUAAUUUAAAAACUAAUAACACUAACAUGUUUUAAUACCCUCACUAGCUCUGUUCAGCCUCAUUAGGAAGAGUAUAUAAAACAGGACGUGUAUCCCACCCCCAAGCUUAGAAAGGCACGCCCCGGGGAGGUGGCAUCGCCUUUCAGGCAGCAUCCACAGGCUGUGUGGUGAAAGCAGAGCAACCAGGCAGAGCGGUGGGCUGGGAGGGACUUCAGGGCUGGUCUGCACACCAGCUGUGGUCUGGAGGGGAGACUGACUUGUCUUGGGCCACCAAGAGCUGGAGGCAACAACAGGACCAGACCCCAAUUCUGUGGCUGAGGACGGCACUGUGGCCCAGCAGCGGUGAAACUGAGAGGUCUCCAGGCAAGGGCAACAGCCACCCCGCUACCUCUCAAGGAAUUAAAAUAACCAUAAUAACAG